CAGUUGUCCCCGUACAUCCUUUCAGUAUCCAAAGAAUUUCAAUUUACAUCUUGUAAUCACUCAACUAAUGUAGUGCAAUCCUCAUCUCUGUAUUUUACCGUGUGGACAUACUCUUUCCUUCCAUGUUCCACUGUCGUAUGUUAUUCCACAUCUAACACAACCACAUCCCAACAGAUCCGAACACGUCCGAUAUCAUCCAAGAGAAUGUGGCAGCUGAAGGGGGAGAGGCCAAGGGUGAAGACAUUUAGCCACCCCCCUGAAAUACAUGGCAUCAUUCAACCCUCUUGGUGAGCUGCAGGAAUGUGCUCCCCAUUGCAGUGCACCAGCUCCAUGUACUGAUUUUGGUGUGAACUUGAUGGGGUUGGUGGAAACUCGACUCGGCCAUCAAGCUCACCACAAUAUAACAUGAAAAGUGAAAAUUGCUGCACACAACAGUCUGUCGUCUGCACCGGGAGGCAAGGCAGCUCAAAGCCCAGGCUGUUACAACUCCUGGGCAGUUUUUGCCCAGAGUCAGCAAUUUUUUAGAUCCAAUAGGGAUGGAUUUU